UUACGACCACACCACGUUGAAACACAGUUUUCCGUAAGAUCUCCGAAGUUAAGUAACGUCGAGCUUGGUCAGUACCUAAAUGGUUGACCGUUUGGAAAUAACAGAUGUUGUAA